rnacentral:rRNA from 1 species
ACUCAAAUGAAUAGACGGGGGCCCGCACAAGCGGUGGAGCAUGUGGUUUAAUUCGACGCAACGCGAAGAACCUUACCCAGACUUGACAUGCAUUCGACCGGUGUGGAAACACACCUUUCCUUCGGGACGGAUGCACAGGUGCUGCAUGGCUGUCGUCAGCUCGUGUCGUGAGAUGUUGGGUUAAGUCCCGCAACGAGCGCAACCCUUGUCCUUAGUUGCUAACGGGUAAUGCCGAGCACUCUAAGGAGACUGCCGGUGAUAAACCGGAGGAAGGUGGGGAUGACGUCAAGUCCUCAUGGCCCUUACGUCUGGGGCUACACACGUGCUACAAUGGCCGGUACAGAGGGUUCCGAUACCGCGAGGUGGAGGUAAUCCCAAAAAACCGGUCUCAGUUCGGAUUGCAGUCUGCAACUCGACUGCAUGAAGUCGGAAUCGCUAGUAAUCGCUGAUCAGCAGGCAGCGGUGAAUACGUUCCCGGGCCUUGUACACACCGCCCGU